GAAAUGCGAUAAGUAGUGUGAAUUGCAGAAUUCAGUGAAUCAUCGAAUCUUUGAACGCACAUUGCGCCCCUUGGUAUUCCAUGGGGCAUGCCUGUUCGAGCGUCAUCUACACCCUCAAGCUCUGCUUGGUGUUGGGCGUCUUUGUCCCGCCUCCGCGCGCGGACUCGCCCCAAAUUCAUUGGUAGCGGUCCUUGCCUCCUCUCGCGCAGCACAUUGCGCUUCUCGAGGUGUUGCGGCCCGCGUCCAGAAAGCAAUCGUUACCGUCUUUGACCUCGGAUCAGGUAGGGAUACCCGCUGAACUUAAGC
rnacentral:misc_RNA from 1 species